rnacentral:rRNA from 1 species
GAUGAACGCUGGCGGCGUGCCUAAUACAUGCAAGUCGAGCGAACGGACGAGAAGCUUGCUUCUCUGAUGUUAGCGGCGGACGGGUGAGUAACACGUGGAUAACCUACCUAUAAGACUGGGAUAAUUUCGGGAAACCGGAGCUAAUACCGGAUAAUAUUUUGAACCGCAUGGUUCAAAAGUGAAAGACGGUCUUGCUGUCACUUAUAGAUGGAUCCGCGCUGCAUUAGCUAGUUGGUAAGGUAACGGCUUACCAAGGCAACGAUGCAUAGCCGACCUGAGAGGGUGAUCGGCCACACUGGAACUGAGACACGGUCCAGACUCCUACGGGAGGCAGCAGUAGGGAAUCUUCCGCAAUGGGCGAAAGCCUGACGGAGCAACGCCGCGUGAGUGAUGAAGGUCUUCGGAUCGUAAAACUCUGUUAUUAGGGAAGAACAUAUGUGUAAGUAGCUGUGCACAUCUUGACGGUACCUAAUCAGAAAGCCACGGCUAACUACGUG